rnacentral:rRNA from 1 species
CACGUAGGGACCAAGCGUUGUCCGGAUUCAUUGGGCGUAAAGAGCUCGUAGGCGGUUCGAUAAGUCGGGUGUGAAACCUCCAGGCUCAACCUGGAGACGCCACCCGAUACUGUCGUGGCUAGAGUCCGGAAGAGGAGAGUGGAAUUCCUGGUGUAGCGGUGAAAUGCGCAGAUAUCAGGAAGAACACCGAUGGCGAAGGCAGCUCUCUGGGACGGUACUGACGCUGAGACGCGAAAGCGUGGGGAGCGAACAGG